CUUCUUUGGGGCUGUCCACCGAAGUGCCUGACGCUCCUGACAGGACAACAGGCGGCGAUGUUUCCUCGGUUUGUGUUGUCCGCCUACGGGGGCAACGUAUUAUGUCCCGACGUUCAGGAGGAUUCUAACGGGGACAGACACUGUCCGUCCUCAAGCACCGAAGCGGGGUUUCUGGCACCGGCGCCGCCACUAGACGCCUCGGGGCGGGCCCCAGACUGGCCGUGGGGGGUCCUCGCGAGCGGCGCGCUCCCUAAAGUGGGACGCGAGCGCGAGCGCGAGCCCCGCCGCGUUUGUUGAGGAGAAAGUCGGAAUCGGGUCCCCCGCCAGUGAUGGGAACAAAGCCCUUAAAGCUUUCCCAGGAAACAGCCCCGAGCAAAGAGCAAGCUGAGCAAACAGCGCUCUGACAGUUAAGAAAAACAGGAUAUGAGAUUACCAGAUGGGACUGUUAACUAAACUUAAGCCCUGUCAUGAAACAUGUUAUUAACGAGCCCAGUUCCCCUUUGGAAUUCUUUUGUUCCCCUCUUCCCCCUUCCGUGUGUAACCCCUCCCAAUGU